GAGACACCCUUCUGGGGCAAGACUUGUUUCAGUGGGGCUUUGGUGCUCACUGAGUCUGCCCCCACAUGUGUCCUU
rnacentral:pre_miRNA from 1 species